GUAAACCAUAGCGAGCAAACCGUGGCGGCAUCGCAAGGCGUCGUCGCGGUUAAUAAGGAUAACCCUGGUAAUUCUGAGGCUAAUACAAGAACGUACAACCCACCCGACCCGUAAGGGAAGGGGGGGGAAUGUGUGACCAGGCACGCAAAUUCGAAACUGGGAGUGGCCACACGUUCAGACCGUCAUACCAAACAGUUGCUCGCUUUGAAAGUCCUCGUGACGAGUAAACGGCGGGCUUCUGGGCGGCUCUCGCUGUGUGCUUCUGACCUAUCAACUAGAUGGCAGCGUAACGGACAUGCUAUGGUGACAACGGGUACAGAGGAUAAGGGUUCGAUCCUGGAGAGUGGGCCUGAGAGAUU
rnacentral:rRNA from 1 species